GGGAAUAUAGCUCAGUGGUAGAACAUUUGUUUAGCAUACACAAAGGCCCUGGGUUCAAUCCCCAGUCCCA
rnacentral:tRNA from 1 species